CGCUUAACACAUGCAAGUCGAACGGGAUCUUCGGAUCUAGUGGCAGACGGGUGAGUAACGCGUGGGAACCUGCCCAGUAGUAGAGAAUAACUUGAGGAAACUUAAGCUAAUACUUUAUACACCCUCCGGGGAAAAGCUUUAUGCGCUAUUGGAUGGGCCCGCGUUAGAUUAGUUUGUUGGUGAGGUAAUGGCUCACCAAGACUACGAUCUAUAGCUGGUCUGAGAGGAUGAUCAGCCACACUGGGACUGAGACACGGCCCAGACUCCUACGGGAGGCAGCAGUGGGGAAUAUUGGACAAUGGGGGCAACCCUGAUCCAGCGAUGCCGCGUGAGUGAUGAAGGCCUUCGGGUUGUAAAACUCUUUCGUCAGGGAAGAUAAUGACGGUACCUGAAGAAGAAGAUCCGGCUAACUCCGUGCCAGCAGCCGCGGUAAUACGGAGGGAUCUAGCGUUAUUCGGAAUUACUGGGCGUAAAGCGAGCGUAGGCGGAUUUGUAAGUUGGAGGUGAAAUCCCAGAGCUUAACUCUGGAACUGCCUUCAAAACUACAUUUCUUGAGUUUGGUAGAGGAGAGUGGAAUUCCUAGUGUAGAGGUGAAAUUCGUAGAUAUUAGGAGGAACACCAGUGGCGAAGGCGACUCUCUGGGCCAAUACUGACGCUGAGGUUCGAAAGCAUGGGUAGCGAACAGGAUUAGAUACCCUGGUAGUCCAUGCAGUAAACGAUGAGUGCUAGAUGUUGGGAAUUUAAAUUUCCAGUAUCGCAGUUAACGCGUUAAGCACUCCGCCUGGGAAGUACGGCC
rnacentral:rRNA from 1 species